UCACUGCUGUCACUAAGGGCUGGCGAUGA
rnacentral:piRNA from 1 species